UACGUAGGGUGCAAGCGUUGUCCGGAAUUAUUGGGCGUAAAGAGCUCGUAGGCGGUCUGUCGCGUCGGCUGUGAAAACCCGGAGCUCAACUCCGGGCCUGCAGUCGAUACGGGCAAACUGGAGUGUUGCAGGGGAGACUGGAAUUCCUGGUGUAGCGGUGAAAUGCGUAGAUAUCAGGAGGAACACCGGUGGUGUAGGCGGCUCACUGGACCGUAACUGACGCUGAGACACGAAAGCGUGGGGAGCAAACAGGAUUGAGAAACCC
rnacentral:rRNA from 1 species